rnacentral:rRNA from 1 species
GUCGAGCAAGGAUGAAAAUCGGACUUAGUGAUCCGGUGGUUCUGCGUGGAAGGGCCAUCGCUCAACGGAUAAAAGCUACCCUGGGGAUAACAGGCUUAUCUCCCCCAAGAGUCCACAUCGACGGGGAGGUUUGGCACCUCGAUGUCGGCUCAUCACAUCCUGGGGCUGUAGUAGGUCCCAAGGGUUGGGCUGUUCGCCCAUUAAAGUGGUACGCGAGCUGGGUUCAGAACGUCGUGAGACAGUUCGGUCCCUAUCCGUCGCAGGCGUAGGAAAUUUGAGAAGACCUGUCCUUAGUACGAGAGGACCGGGAUGGACGUACCUCUGGUGUACCAGUUGUUCUGCCAAGGGCAUGGCUGGGUAGCUAUGUACGGAAUGGAUAAGCGCUGAAAGCAUCUAAGCGCGAAGCCAACUUCAAGAUAAGAUUUCCCACCGCAAGGGUAAGACCCCAGAAAGACUAUCUGGUUGAUAGGUCGAAGGUGUAAGUGCAGCAAUGUAUUUAGCUUAUCGAUACUAAUAGGUCGAGGACUUGACCAAU